AGUGAACGCUGGCGGUAGGCCUAACACAUGCAAGUCGAACGGCAGCACAGUAAGAGCUUGCUCUUACGGGUGGCGAGUGGCGGACGGGUGAGGAAUACAUCGGAAUCUACUUUUUCGUGGGGGAUAACGUAGGGAAACUUACGCUAAUACCGCAUACGACCUACGGGUGAAAGCAGGGGAUCUUCGGACCUUGCGCGAUUGAAUGAGCCGAUGUCGGAUUAGCUAGUUGGCGGGGUAAAGGCCCACCAAGGCGACGAUCCGUAGCUGGUCUGAGAGGAUGAUCAGACACACUGGAACUGAGACACGGUCAAGAGGCCUACGGGAGGCAGCAGUGGGGAAUAUUGGACAAUGGGCGAAAGCCUGAUCCAGCCAUACCGCGUGGGUGAAGAAGGCCUUCGGGUUGUAAAGCCCUUUUGUUGGGAAAGAAAAGCAGCAGGUUAAUACCCCGCUGUUCUGACGGUACCCAAAGAAUAAGCACCGGCUAACUUCGUG
rnacentral:rRNA from 1 species